UGCAUGAAGACGGAAUUGCUAGUAAUCGCGGAUCAGCAUGCCGCGGUGAAUACGUUCCCGGGCCUUGUACACACCGCCCGUCACACCAUGAGAGUCGGUAACACCCGAAGCCUGUGAGCUAACCGUAAGGAGGCAGCAGUCGAAGGUGGGAUCGAUAAUUGGGGUGAAGUCGUAACAAGGUAUC
rnacentral:rRNA from 1 species